rnacentral:rRNA from 1 species
AGAGUUUGAUCAUGGCUCAGGAUAAACGCUGGCGGCGUGCAUGAGACAUGCAAGUCGAACGGGUACUCGGGCUUGCUCGAGUGCUAGUGGCGCACGGGUGAGUAACGCGUGGGAACCUGCCCUGGAGUGGGGGAUAACCGAGAGAAAUUUCGGCUAAUACCGCAUACGACCUGAGGGUGAAAGAUUUAUCGCUCUAGGAGGGGCCCGCGUCGGAUUAGCUAGUUGGUGGGGUAACGGCCUACCAAGGCAACGAUCCGUAGCUGGUCUGAGAGGAUGAUCAGCCACACUGGGACUGAGACACGGCCCAGACUCCUACGGGAGGCAGCAGUGGGGAAUAUUGGACAAUGGGGGCAACCCUGAUCCAGCAAUGCCGCGUGAGUGAUGAAGGCCUUAGGGUUGUAAAGCUCUUUCGGCGGGGACGAUGAUGACGGUACCCGCAGAAGAAGCCCCGGCUAACUUCGUGCCAGCCGCCGCGGUAAUAC